UUUAGGCAGCUGCCUAUGGGCGCCAGGACCUGAGGGGGCGGUAUGCUGAGGCUGUCAGGAGCCCUGGUCGUUUUGACUGUUAGCCGCCAACCCGCUCUCCCCCCUUCGCCCUUUACUAGCCCCCAUGAAAUAGCAGCAGCAAGGCACCCGGCGGCAUGGAGACACAUAGCAGCGCUGCGGGUAGUCCUGCAACGAUGCUAAGCUGACUGACAGGCAGCUAGACAAUUUACUGCCGCACCGCUAUGCAGUGGGAGCAGAGAGUUGGUUUCCCCCUCGGCCAGUCCCGUGUCCCCCACCUGCCGGGCCGGCUCCAUAGCCUGCUGCUUGAUGGGGUUUAUUUGGUGGGUUUUUUUUUUAUAAAAGGGGCGUGGCCACACCUCCGUGAUUAGGCCACGCCCCCCGAGUAUGCUAGGUCCUCGGCGGUCUUUCUAUGGCUCUGCUGCCUGUUCUUUCAGACUUGCUCCUGUGAUAUACUGUAAGCUGGAGACCUACGGAAGACCUGUAGGUCCAUAGGCUGUGAUGGAUGCCGACUGAUUGCUUCUCCGUCUGACGGUUUCUCCUCCUUGCAAGAUCCGGAGAAAUCACCACAAUAUCUUUAUGAGUCUCUCUACUGUGAAGCUAUGAAGCUAGCAUAUGAGUCUCUCUACUGUGAAGCUAUGAAGCUAGCAUAUGGUCAUUUAUAACAGUGAACAAAUGCAACCGAACGAGCAAAUAACAUUUACUGACACCAAAUACCGAUUUUUGCCUGACAUGGCACAUCACCAUCAAGAUGAUGACUGCAAACUUGGGAGGAACAACUGAUAUGAGUAAAGGCAUUUCUAGCUUAAA